UACGAAGGGGGCUAGCGUUGCUCGGAAUUACUGGGCGUAAAGGGCUCGUAGGCGGUUUGUCGCGUCGGGAGUGAAAACACCGGGCUUAACUCGGUGCUUGCUUUCGAUACGGGCAGACUAGAGGUAUGCAGGGGAGAACGGAAUUCCUGGUGUAGCGGUGAAAUGCGCAGAUAUCAGGAGGAACACCGGUGGCGAAGGCGGUUCUCUGGGCAUUACCUGACGCUGAGGAGCGAAAGUGUGGGGAGCGAACAGG
rnacentral:rRNA from 1 species